GGAUUGAAGAGACUGUUGGCUACAAUUGACUGUGACAAUUAGGAGAUGAUCAGAGCCCUAGAGUGGAGCACUUAAAGGGAGAAUGGAAAAGGGAAAAUGUGAGUACAGAGAAAGUAGCACUGAUUUCCAUCACAAAAAAGAGA
rnacentral:lncRNA from 1 species